rnacentral:rRNA from 1 species
AUUGAACGCUGGCGACAGGCCUAACACAUGCAAGUCGAACGAGUGGCGGACGGGUGAGUAAUGUCUGGGAAACUGCCUGAUGGAGGGGGAUAACUACUGGAAACGGUAGCUAAUACCGCAUACCAUCGGAUGUGCCCAGAGGGGAUUAGCUAGUGGGUGGGGUAAAGGCUCACCUAGGCGACGAUCCCUAGCUGGUCUGAGAGGAUGACCGGCAACACUGGAACUGAGACACGGUCCAGACUCCUACGGGAGGCAGCAUUGGGGAAUAUUGCACAAUGGGCGAAAGCCUGAUGCAGCCAUGCCGCGGGGAUGAAGAAGGCCUUCGGGUUGUAAAGUACUUUCAGCGGGGAGGCGUUACCCGCAGAAGAAGCACCGGCUAACUCCGUGCCAGCAGCCGCGGUAAUUC